rnacentral:misc_RNA from 1 species
GAGGAUUAUCAUUCCCUUUAACCAGAUUUCAGAAAACUUAAAGAAAAAGGAGAGAGAAAGAAAGAAAGAAAUCCAUAAUUUAAUCAGAAAUCAAAACCACACCCACUUUUAAGUAGUCUUUUAUUUACUUGUAAAGAGUGAGAGAGUUCAUUUUUUAUACCAGUCGAAAACGACACAGCUAUCAUGUCAUCUAUCAUAUAAUGCAUUUUCUUGCAUAAGGAGGUUGGCUGCUGAGGCCUGAGGUGAUACAAAACAAAAGAAAAGAAAAUGUUGUGUAGAAAGAAAUUGAGUUCUGAUGACGAUACAGGAGGAUCUGUGCCAGUGUAUCUUAAUGUUUAUGAUCUCACUCCAAUUAAUGGCUAUGCUUAUUGGCUUGGGCUUGGAGUCUAUCAUUCUGGGGUUCAAGUUCAUGGUGUUGAGUAUGCUUUCGGGGCUCACGAGUACUCAACAACAGGAAUUUUCGAAGGAGAACCAAAACAGUGCGAUGGAUUUACAUUUAGAAAGACAAUUUUGAUUGGAAAAACAGAAAUGGGGCUUGCAGAGGUAAGGGCAGUAAUGGAGGAACUUGCAGAGGAAUAUAAAGGAAAUGCUUAUAAUUUGAUCACCAAGAACUGUAACCAUUUCUGCAAUGAUGCUUGCAUUAGACUUACUGGUAAUCCCAUCCCAAGCUGGGUUAAUCGCCUUGCAAGAAUUGGUUUUCUAUGCAAUUGUGUUCUUCCUGCAAAUUUAAAUUCAACAAAAGUCAGCAACCAUAAAAUGGAAGAGAAGGUUGAUGAAACAGAGAAGGAAAAAUUGACAAGUAUGUCCAAUAGAUUUACAUCAUCUUCUAAUUCAUCAUCUUCUUCUUCAUCAUCUCCUUCUGGAAAUCAAAUCCGUGGUAGAAGUAGAAGCAGACGUGCUCUUCCACCAUCUUCUCCCUUGAUUUCUUCAUCACCUUGAUGAUCAUAAAUUUCAAGAAUUGAUUUUUUUUUUCUUUUAUUUCUUGAAAAUUUCCAAAGAAGGGGAGAAAGUUUUUAUUUAUAUUUUCCUUUUAAUUUUUUUUUGGGUUCAUUAUUUUCUGGGAUUAUUUAUGGUGCUAACAUUUUCUUGAGUUAUGCAGGCAUGCAGCACAUAUACGUACGUGUGUAU